UUGAUUCAUUUGCUUGUUCACUCAGAAGAAAUUCCACCGGGGCGAAGUCAAGAGUUCGGGUCCCCCGGCGGGCGCCGGGGCGGUCCGCCGAAGCAACGUCUGGGUAUGUUCACAGGGGUUUGGGAGUUGAAAACUCGGUAAUGAUCCCUCCGCUGGUUCACCAACGGAGA
rnacentral:misc_RNA from 1 species